rfam:Termitomyces sp. J132 unplaced genomic scaffold scaffold154, whole genome shotgun sequence.
GGUGAGAUGGCCGAGCGGUCUAAGGCGCCAGACUAAGGUAAUGAUUGAUGAUCACUGCUAUCUGGUCUCUUCGGGGGCGGGAGUUCGAAUCUCCCUCUCAUCA